rnacentral:rRNA from 1 species
AUUGAACGCUGGCGGCAGGCCUAACACAUGCAAGUCGAACGAGCUGCGGACGGGUGAGUAAUGUAUGGGGACUGCCCGCUAGAGGGGGGUAAAUACUGGAAACGGUAACUAAUAACGCAUACUAUCGGAUAAGCCAUAUGGGAUUGUCUAGUAGGGGAGGUAAUGGCGCACCUAGGCGACGAUCCCUAGCUGGUCUGAGAGGAUGAUCAGCAACACUGGGACUGAGACACGGCCCAGACCCCUACGGAGGCAGCAGUGGGGAAUAUUGCACAAGGGGCGAAAGCCGGAUGCAGAAAUGCCGCGUGUAUGAAGAAGGCCCUAGGGUUGUAAACUACGUUCAGUCGGGAGGCGUUACCGACAGAAGAAGCACCGGCUAACUACGUGCCAGCAGCCGCGGUAAUAC